AGUGAACGCUGGCGGUAGGCCUGACACAUGCAAGUCGAACGGCAGCACAGUAAGAGCUUGCUCUUACGGGUGGCGAGUGGCGGACGAGUGAGGAAUACAUCGGAAUCUACUUUUUCGUGGGGGAUAACGUAGGGAAACUUACGCUAAUACCGCAUACGACCUACGGGUGAAAGCAGGGGAUCUUCGGACCUUGCGCGAUUGAAUGAGCCGAUGUCGGAUUAGCUAGUUGGCGGGGUAAAGGCCCACCAAGGCGACGAUCCGUAGCUGGUCUGAGAGGAUGAUCAGCCACACUGGAACUGAGACACGGUCCAGACUCCUACGGGAGGCAGCAGUGGGGAAUAUUGGACAAUGGGCGCAAGCCUGAUCCAGCCAUACCGCGUGGGUGAAGAAGGCCUUCGGGUUGUAAAGCCCUUUUGUUGGGAAAGAAAAGCAGCAGGUUAAUACCCCGCUGUUCUGACGGUACCCAAAGAAUAAGCACCGGCUAACUUCGUG
rnacentral:rRNA from 1 species